rnacentral:rRNA from 1 species
GUGAACCAGCGGAGGGAUCAUUACAGAGUUGCAAAACUCCAACAAACCAUCGCGAAUCUUACCCGUACGGUUGCCUCGGCGCUGGCGGUCCGGAAGGCUCUCGGGCCCCCCGGAUCCUCGGGUCUCCCGCUCGCGGGAGGCUGCCCGCCGGAGUGCCGAAACCAAACUCUUGAUAUUUUAUGUCUCUCUGAGUAAACUUUUAAAUAAGUCAAAACUUUCAACAACGGAUCUCUUGGUUCUGGCAUCGAUGAAGAACGCAGCGAAAUGCGAUAAGUAAUGUGAAUUGCAGAAUUCAGUGAAUCAUCGAAUCUUUGAACGCACAUUGCGCUCGCCAGUAUUCUGGCGAGCAUGCCUGUUCGAGCGUCAUUUCAACCAUCAAGCUCUGCUUGCGUUGGGGAUCCGCGUCUGACGCGGUCCCUCAAAAACAGUGGCGGGCUCGCUAGUCACACCGAGCGUAGUAACUCUACAUCGCUAUGGUCGUGCGGCGGGUUCUUGCCGUAAAACCCCCAAUUUCUAAGGUUGACCUCGGAUCAGGUAGGAAUACCCGCUGAACUUAA